rnacentral:snoRNA from 1 species
GGUUGAUGAUGAGCUGGCAUGUAUUCUGAAUCUAAAGUUGAUUAUUACUACAACUCUAAAAUUAUUGAGACCUG